GAGGGUAUAGCUCAGUGGUAGAGUGCGUGCUUAUCAUGCACAAGGUCCUGGGUGUAAUUCCCAGUCCUGCCA
rnacentral:tRNA from 1 species